UAUUAAAAAAUUCAUUCAUUUGUAUUAUUUAAAAUUUGAAUGGCCAAGAGAAUAACUAGAUAGUGACAUGUGGCAUGCCACAUGUACUAAAUGUUAAUGCACAAGAAUCAAUUUUUAACAGUAGAGAUUGAUAAAAUUUUUAUCA
rnacentral:pre_miRNA from 1 species